GACAGAGGUGCCGAGCGUUAGGCGGAAUCACUGGGCUUAAAGCGUGUGUAGGCGGAUCGUUAAGUGCCUUGUGAAAUCCCACGGCUCAACCGUGGAACUGCUUGGCAUACUGGCGGUCUUGAGCCACUUAGGGGCUACCGGAACAAACGGUGGAGCGGUGAAAUGCGCAGAUAUCAGGAGGAACACCGGUGGCGAAGGCGGGUCUCUGGGCCGAUACUGACGCUGAGGAGCGAAAGCGUGGGGAGCGAACAGG
rnacentral:rRNA from 1 species